rnacentral:lncRNA from 1 species
UGUAGGUGGGUCAUCACUUUUUGUCGGUCUCUUCCUGGUGGUUGGACAUUUCUCUCUCCUUGUUGAAUGUUUCCUGUUCUCUGAAGAAUAUUUACUGUUCCAUCUCCCAAAUGUGGAAAAGGAUCCGUAACUCCCGUCGUUUUCCUGGAGUGAAGCAAUACUUCUACGCCCUGACUGUCCUGUUUAGUGCUAUGGCCUGGGUGUUCAGCGUUAUCCUAGUAACCAGUGUAUUCUGGCGAGUGUGGGAAUUUGACAGCCAGGUCGUUCCCAUUGCCUUCAUUGGCCUUUGGAAGGCUCAGUACUAUCUCAGGUCGAAUGACUCUGGCUUAGUGCGUGAUAUGCUAAUAGACUCAAAUAUCCACAGUGGGUGGACCCAUGCAGUUGAGCUUGAAUAUGCAAAGGAUCUAAUAGUGCUGGUGAAUUUUAUGCAGCCAGUGACCCUGAUAUUCUGCCUAGUGGCCUUUCUGGUCAGCACGUCGAAGCGCACCUACUCAGCUUUUGUACGACUCUAUUCCAGAAGCUCAGCCCUCCUUCUUUUACUCAACUCUGUCUUUGUGGCUGUGGCUGUGGGCUGGAACUACAUCAUGGACAUUUCUGGCCAAAGCACCCUUGAUUUCCCACUAGAGAUUCCUGUUAACAAAGAGGAUGUGAUCAAAAAACACUUAUCCCAUGUGUUCCCACUGGGGAUUGUCACUGCUGCUCUGUCCCUCCUCAAUGCCAUCCUAUGCUUUUGGACCAUGACCUUCCUAAGGGCCAAGUCAGUAAAAGUGUGAGAUGUUUAUUAAAUCUCAUAGGAAAGCAUGGGACUGAGGGCUGAGAUAUAUGGGAAGUCCUGAGUGCAGGGUGCUUGAAAAAAUUACUAUGCAGGUGUGUACUUGGAGUGUUCAUGUCCUCACUGCAAAUAAAAUCUGUGCUUUGGUUUGUCAGCUUGUGUCUCAAGCUCCUGAGCUCGGUUCCAUCAAUGCAUCUCUCCCUUGAAGGGUUUCAUUUCCGGAAGUCAGCCUCCCAGCACUUCCGGUUCAGGUGCUGCCAAAAUCCACAGUUAGGGAAGUGUGCUGGCUGGAAUGUACCAGCUCACGUCAGCAAGGACCAACUCCAGGCUGGUCCCAGGUAUGGAAAACAGUUGUCAUAUACACAUGGAAAAUACUCAUUCUCAU